CUAAUACCGAAUACGCUGUUCUAUUUGUUUAGGACAGGAAAGGAGGCCUCUGCAUAUGCUUCCGCUUUUCGAUGAGUCCGCGUCCCAUUAGCUAGUUGGCGGGGUAAAGGCCCACCAAGGCGACGAUGGGUAGCUGGUCUGAGAGGAUGAUCAGCCACACUGGGACUGGAACACGGCCCAGACUCCUACGGGAGGCAGCAGUGGGGAAUAUUGCGCAAUGGGCGAAAGCCUGACGCAGCGACGCCGCGUGAGGGAUGAAGGUCCUCGGAUCGUAAACCUCUGUCAGAAGGGAAGAAGUUGCACUGUGCUAAUCAGCGGUGCAUUGACGGUACCUUCAAAGGAAGCACCGGCUAACUCCGUGCCAGCAGCCGCGGUAAUACGGAGGGUGCGAGCGUUAAUCGGAAUUACUGGGCGUAAAGCGCACGUAGGCUGUAUAUCAAGUCAAGGGUGAAAUCCCCGGGCUCAACCUGGGAACUGCCUUUGAAACUGGUAAACUAGAGUAUGUGAGAGGGUGGCGGAAUUCCUGGUGUAGGAGUGAAAUCCGUAGAUAUCAGGAGGAACAUCAGUGGCGAAGGCGGCCACCUGGCACAAAACUGACGCUGAGGUGCGAAAGCGUGGGUAGCAAACAGGAUUAGAUACCCUGGUAGUCCACGCUGUAAACGAUGGAUACUGGGUGUUGGGAUGUAUGUCUCGGCGCCGUAGCUAACGCGUUAAGUAUCCCGCCUGGGGAGUACGGUCGCAAGGCUGAAACUCAAAGAAAUUGACGGGGGCCCGCACAAGCGGUGGAGUAUGUGGUUUAAUUCGAUGCAACGCGA
rnacentral:rRNA from 1 species